AUGGCAGGUGCACCACCCAGAACUACCCAGCUUGCAACCAGAGAAGCAUCUUUAAAUAGAAGGCUUCUGCGUCCUUCUCCUGCAUCCAUUCUUCAGCCUCCAUCCAUCCACCAGGGACGUUGAGAUCACAGCCCGCUGUCCAUCAUGAAGGCCUUCCUCUUGCUCUUUGCUGUUGCUGUCUUGGUUUUCCAGAUGAAGGCUGAGCCAAAUCCAGAGCCAGCACCAGGACCUCAAGAACCUCAAGAUGCUGUCCGUCCGAGAAGUGUCAUUCAGUGUCGUUCGGUGGGAGGGAUUUGCCGUCCAUCCAAGUGCCUAGCCACUGAGCAAAACACUGGGGCCUGUGUGACAGGUGUCGCGUGUUGCCUUCCUUUUGCAUGAAGAACCCACCCAGCGGAGACUCAGAAAAGCCUGAAAUCCGGGGACUGACAGUCAAUUGUUUCACACUUGGUCCUCUUUCUCCACUUUCAUUAAAACUGAUGUUACCUCUCUUUCA